UUGGUAAGACAAUGGUUUUGUCAUCCUUUAAACUCUUUUUAGGUAAUGGAAGACUAAAAGUACAUUCUCCCUUAGAUGUGCUUCUCCAAGCUCAGUUCAUGAUAUCAUGCAUCUUCAUGACUCUUUAUGAGAGUUGAAAAGUAAAGACCAUGAGGUACUUCUUCAGCUACAGAAACUUGAGAUUUUUUGCCAUCCACCUCCAGAAGUGUCCUCUUCCACUUCAAUACCUCUGCCUUUUGGAUAGGCUUGACAUGAACAGUAAUCAGCAACAAAAAGGUGUGUUGAUUUUUAUUUUUUAUUUUUAAAUAAUAAAAUAAAAAUGUAUGAGCUGUGGAAGACUGCU
rnacentral:lncRNA from 1 species